rnacentral:rRNA from 1 species
AGUGAACGCUGGCGGUAGGCCUAACACAUGCAAGUCGAACGGCAGCACAGUAAGAGCUUGCUCUUACGGGUGGCGAGUGGCGGACGGGUGAGGAAUACAUCGGCAUCUACUUUUUCGUGGGGGAUAACGUAGGGAAACUUACGCUAAUACCGCAUACGACCUACGGGUGAAAGCAGGGGAUCUUCGGACCUUGCGCGAUUGAAUGAGCCGAUGUCGGAUUAGCUAGUUGGCGGGGUAAAGGCCCACCAAGGCGACGAUCCGUAGCUGGUCUGAGAGGAUGAUCAGCCACACUGGAACUGAGACACGGUCCAGACUCCUACGGGAGGCAGCAGUGGGGAAUAUUGGACAAUGGGCGCAAGCCUGAUCCAGCCAUACCGCGUGAGUGAAGAAGGCCUUCGGGUUGUAAAGCCCUGUUGUUGGGAAAGAAAAGCAGCAGGUUAAUACCCCGCUGUUCUGACGGUACCCAAAGAAUAAGCACCGGCUAACUUCGUG